UACGUAGGGGGCUAGCGUUGUCCGGAAUCAUUGGGCGUAAAGCGCGUGUAGGCGGUUCGGUAAGUCCGCUGUGAAAGUCGGGGGCUCAACCCUCGGAUGCCGGUGGAUACUGUCGGACUAGAGUGCGGAAGAGGCGAGUGGAAUUCCUGGUGUAGCGGUGGAAUGCGCAGAUAUCAGGAGGAACACCAAUAGCGAAGGCAGCUCGCUGGGACGGUACUGACGCUAUGGCGCGAAAGCGUGGGGAGCGAACAGG
rnacentral:rRNA from 1 species